GCUGGGAAUGGUGGCGGAUGCCUGUAAUCCCAGCUACUUGGGAGGCUGAGGCAGGAGAAUUGCUUGAGCCCGGGAGGCAGAGGCUGCAGUGAGCAGAGAUCAUGCCACUGCACUCCAGCCUGGGCGACAGAGCGAGACUCUGUCUCAA
rnacentral:SRP_RNA from 2 species